rnacentral:rRNA from 1 species
AUUGAACGCUGGCGGCAUGCCUUACACAUGCAAGUCGAACGGUAACGCGGGGCAACCUGGCGACGAGUGGCGAACGGGUGAGUAAUGUAUCGGAACGUGCCCAGUUGUGGGGGAUAACUGCUCGAAAGAGCAGCUAAUACCGCAUACGACCUGAGGGUGAAAGCGGGGGAUCGCAAGACCUCGCGCAAUUGGAGCGGCCGAUAGCAGAUUAGGUAGUUGGUGGGGUAAAGGCUCACCAAGCCGACGAUCUGUAGCUGGUCUGAGAGGACGACCAGCCACACUGGGACUGAGACACGGCCCAGACUCCUACGGGAGGCAGCAGUGGGGAAUUUUGGACAAUGGACGCAAGUCUGAUCCAGCCAUGCCGCGUGCGGGAAGAAGGCCUUCGGGUUGUAAACCGCUUUUGUCAGGGAAGAAAAGGCUCCUUCUAAUAUAGGGGGCUCAUGACGGUACCUGAAGAAUAAGCACCGGCUAACUACGUGCCAGCAGCCGCAGUAAUAC